AUCACUCUAGGAUUCAGUAGCUAGUUGAUCGUCAAGCAGGCAGUGCAAAUAGAUAAUUCCUAGCCUGACUAGCAAAACGCUAGAUGGUGGUGAAGUGCGUGAUUAAUGAAGUUGGUGAAGUGUUGAGAUUACCAUAAGUUAACAGCCAGAAUGGUGGUUCCCAUGAUAACGAAUUUUUGGAUGUAAGGUUGGUGAUGGAAUAAUAUUAGAAUGAUUGCUGAGAUCGGCCUUUCUCUCAAUCCAAAAUUGGUGAUGGCGGUAAUUCGCUU